UAAUGAGAUGAUGAUGGAGAUUUAUUUCCCUAUUGGUUUGAUCACCAGUAUGAUGGUGGCUCAUGUAUUAGCUCUAUCUGAUCAUUA